AUUGAACGCUAACGGCAUGCUUAACACAUGCAAGUCGAACGGCAGCACAGCAGUAGCAAUACUGUGGGUGGCGAGUGGCGGACGGGUGAGUAAUGUAUAGGAAUCUGCCUUGUAGUGGGGGAUAACCUGGGGAAACUCGGGCUAAUACCGCAUAAUCUUUACGAAGCAAAGCGGGGGAUCGUAAGACCUUGCGCUAUAAGAUGAGCCUAUAUUGGAUUAGCUAGUUGGUGGGGUAAAGGCCUACCAAGGCGACGAUCCAUAGCUGGUCUGAGAGGAUGAUCAGCCACACUGGGACUGAGACACGGCCCAGACUCUUACGGGAGGCAGCAGUGGGGAAUAUUGGACAAUGGGGGAAACCCUGAUCCAGCAAUGCCGUGUGUGUGAAGAAGGCCUUCGGGUUGUAAAGCACUUUUAGUGGGAAAGAAAAGCUCAAAGCUAAUAACUUUGAGCCUUGACGUUACCCACAGAAAAAGCACUGGCUAACUCUGUGCCAGCCGCCGCGGUAA
rnacentral:rRNA from 1 species